ACUUUAUGAGCUUGUACCAUUUGGGAACAUCCGACCCAUGGAUAUCGAAUUCUACUUUAACCGCAGAAUCAUAGGAAACCUUGGGAUGGAUACUUUUGAUUAUUUAAUCAAUAACAAAAUGGUCCGACUAUUUACCUUGCCUAACCAUGAGAGAACGAGUGUUCACAACCGCAAUAACUGGAUCUAUGACUUAGAUGAAC
rnacentral:lncRNA from 1 species